rnacentral:lncRNA from 1 species
CAGGUACGUUGGGUUCUACAAGGGAGUGCAGAGUGCAGGAGCGGCGGUGGCAUGGCAAGUGGACAAGCAACACACGCCCCUGAUAUCCCAGCUGAUUGUGAACUGGGGGCUCAUGACCAUCAGCUACCCAUUGCUUGUGCUGCUGGUGUUCCUGGCCGUGAAGGACGAGGACUACUCUGUUUCUUCAGUGGAGGAGGACGGCAAGGAGAAAGAUAGUAAGCUGUCAGCACCAACCAGCUUCCACUAAGGAUGAUAGAUCACGAUGUUACGGGUUUUUCAUCAAAGUUGUAGAAAUCAAGAAACAACUGAAGUACCUAUGCAAAGAAUAUUUAGGGUGUGGCGUUUUUAUGUAUGUGGAUUACCUGAUGGGGAUGACAGUAUUCGUUUGGUGAUUAUUACUAUUCUCUCCGUGUUAGAUUGAGCAUGCUUGCAUCUACUCCUUGUCCGUGGUGUAACAUAUGCCAUUUUUGAGCAAUGAAAGGUUUAUUAUAUUCCUUGUCCGUGCUGCAGUUCCUAAAAUUUAUGGGUGUACAUCCACAGACAUCAGCACUUUGUACAGCAUAGAAAAUAAUAAAUAAAUGCUAAUUCUGACUGCAUUAACUAAAUCACAAAAACUACCAUUAUCUCUCCUAACAUGCUUGGGCCAGAAAUCAUCAGGUGUUGUUUAUUUCGGCCAGAAAUCACAUAGGCAUUUCUCUUAUUAAAAAAUUUAUGCAAAAUAUCAUUUCUUUUGUCGUGGCUUGGUUUAUUAAUAAUUUUUUUCAAGAAUAACUUAAAUUUGACUAUGUUUGUACAAUCUUUUUUAAUAAGAUGAGGAUCAAACUUGGGGUAAAAAAAGUCAAACAUAAUUUCAGAUGGAGUGAGUAUACUACACAAGAGAGUUGUAGGUUAUUCACUCUCUUUAUGUAGGACAACUCCUGAAGUAUAAUUUGUUUCAUUUGAUAAAGCAUGGAGAUGGACUUCAUAGGAAAACGGCAGUUGAUGAACAACUUUGUGGAUUUUUGAAGACAACUUUUUUUUUUAUCAAAAUGAUUAAUACAGAUUUAGAUCAACAAAUAUGGAUAUUAACAAUGUAUGAUUCUUUUUGGCAUCAAGAAAAAGUUUCAAAUUAAAAUUUCAUGAAUUACGCAGAGCUGUACUUUAUUGAGGUCUACAUUUUUUCAAUAAAUUUCAUAUCUAUCGACAUAAAAGGUACGAGACUCUUAAAGAAGGGUUGCAUAGUAAAAGAAAAUUCCACCAACAAUUAGAUGUAAAGGAAAUUUGGGCAAUCGAAUCCAUGGAAUUUAAAUCCUGCCACUUUGAUCUAUGAUAGUAGUAUACUUUUGUAAACUUUUAUUUCUAUAUUGGAACACUUAUUUUUGCAAAACAUAUUUAAUAAAAAUACAAAAAAGGUAAAGAUAAUCUGGCAUAUACCUGGGCCUGAUCUGCUGAAAUGGCACACUGGGCCUAGGUAUGAUGCAGCCCAAACUGGGGAUAUAAAAGUAUUUGUGGACCGUACUGUUUUGUUGGGAUUUUCUUUUACAAAGUUAGAAACAGUUUCAAACAAAAAUUUCAUGAAUUAUAGAGCUGUUCUUUAUUGAGGUCUACAAUUUUUCAUAUAAAUCUCAUAUCUAUCUAUCGACAUAAAAGGUAUGAGAAUUUUAAAGAAAGGCUGCAUAGCAAAAGAAAAUUCCAGCCUAGUAGCAUCUGGCCCAUGAUGAGCAUGCUGACAGUAACAGCCCCAGCGUUGAUGAUAGAGCCGAAGAGGAAUAAGACGCCACCGAUGAGCAUGACAGAUUGGCGUCCAACCCUUCUUGUCACACGGCUUGCCAUUGUCACACGGCUUGCCACUAAUGAUGACAGGGAGCUACCAAUGUACAUCGAUGACGUGAAUGCUGUAAGAAGCUGGUUGUCGUACAUGCAAUAGGCAUCACGCUUUGCACUCUUCAUCCCGCUCACCACUUCCGGGAAGAACUUAUUCAAGAAUGACUCCAUUUGUGUGACACCACCUGAAAAACAUGCAUCCUUGAGACUAUUAGUAGUUUAGAAAAUCAUAAUUUAGUGUCUUAUUAGUGCAUGCAUCACACGCCUAUCGUCAUUGGUAUAUACUCCCUACAUACCUGUAAAUAAAGUCAUUUUGAAUAAGGUUUGAGUCAAACAUUGUGAAUAUAAAUUAUGAAUAACUUGUAAGUUGUUGAGUUUGCAAAUGUGAAAACCAUAUGAAUAGAUUUGACUUGAAAAAUACUUUCACAAAAAUAUACAUAUACCACUUUUAAAUAAAUAUUUUUAUCAAAGUAAGAAGUCAAAGUUAGGUUUUGGAGACCGUGUCGUUGUCCUAAAUGACUUUCUUUACAUGUACGGAGGGAGUAUUAUGUAAAAUUUAUAGCAACUGGUAUACAGCUCAUUUUGGUAAAAAAAAACUGGUAUAGUACAGCUCAUCAUGAACAUGACAAGAUAUAUAUACACCUCUGGUCUGAUGUACUAGCUAUAGCGACGUCUCAGCAGAAAAAAAAUCAUAUACCCCCAUAAAUAAUAUUGUGCACUUCAUAACAAAAGCAAGUCAAAAGCUGCUCACUUGCGCUGCGUCCCACCAAAAAAUAAGCUUUAGACUUCCGUAGGACACAAGGAUUAAAUAUGAGAGCAUGCAAAUUGUGCACAACAUCCAUCAAUCGUUGAGCCCACAAUGCUUUGCCUAUAUAUUGUUAGAUAUUUUCUUAUGAGUUGUCUAGUUGUUGCCUACAUAUAUUAUAUGUAAUCCUCACUUAUAGUUACAAAUAUUGGCCCACCAAUUCGUGCUCUCCAGCACGGACCAGAAUAAUCUUAUAUAUGUUACAUAAGUUAAAGUUUCACGGAUAAAUUAGUAUGUAUCAGCUCUUGUUGCACCUCUUUCCAUGACAUCAAGUGCUCUAAUCUUUUGAUAUUCUAUUGGUUGCUGCAAUUUUUCAUCCAUGCACUGGUUAAUACACUAGUGGUUUUUGUAUCUUUUUAUUCAAUAUUUCCCUUUUGUGUAUUUUAUUUUGUUUUUGUGUAUUUUAUCAAACUAUAGAUUCUAGGUCAUAGACUACCCACUUAGUUACCAUAUAUAAUGUCACAAAUAACCAUUUGUGCUUUCAGCAAUCAGGAUGAUAAAUUUCAUGUAUCAAAUAACUAUAUGUUUGAUUUACGAAAAAUGGUGGUUAAAAUUAACCAACCAAUAUUAAUAUGUCACAAUGUUUAUUUAAGGUUUAUAAACUUAUAUAAAGCAACAACUUACAAAAUUUUGUCAUGGAGUAUUAACAUAAUUUCAGUGGCAUACGUGGUUUGUUUAUGGGAUACUUUUUUCAUGAUCCAUAAACCGAGAAAAUAAAUAUUUGUCCUAAUGUAUGCAAUCAUAUUACAUAGUGGCAUAUUGUAUUUAUGUUUACUUGGAAUUUAAGAGUUGUAGAAGUGUAUAUAUGGUUAUUUAUUUCUUUUUCAUACUACCUUAUGUUGGUUUUUGGACGUAGUUUUGCGAGAUAUUUUAGUUUGAUUUUACAGUAAUAGAGGUGCAUAAUUUUAAUGCAAAUUUAGAUGGUUAAUUAAAUUUUAUUUUAUAAUGGAAGAGCAGGUAUAUAAAUUUGCAUUUUUUAGGUUCCUUUAAAUUGUAUUUUAUGAUUGCAGAGGUUGUGGGCUGCUCGCUUGGAGGUGACACAGUUAGUGUUUUAAAACUAAAUUAAUAAAUUUCACUGUACGGACGAAAGCCCCUCCAGAAUUCUAAUAAAAAGGAGACAGACAAGAGAGGGGAGGGGUAUUGUGAGGAUGAAAUGUAAAAUAAAGAACAUAAUAACUACUUGCAAAUUGGUAAAGGCGUAAAGCAUGAGUAAUCAAGCUAGCGUGCAUUGGCAAAACAGCCUUACAACAAAACUUUCCUCGCGUCAUUUGAGAGGUAUUAUAUAUUGGAUCUUUUAUGGGCUACAAUUAUAGCUCUAAUUUAUAGUUGAGUGGUUUAAAUAUUUGGUCAACCCUCUAUAUUUGUAAGGGAUUAUGUAGACUUUUUUUAUUGUUUGCUAACUCAUAGUCAUGUCAUUAUACACAUAUAGAGUAUGCUAAUGACAGUGACAUGCCUUCAAAACCACUUUAGAGGGUUAUUUAGAUUCCCAAUAAUUAAAGAAGUAAAAUAUUUUAUUGGUUGGAAAAAAACAUUUGGUUUUAUAGGAGAGGGAAUGGAGUGAAGCAGGUGAAUGCAAAUAAUUAGGUUAACUAUACUUUUUCCAAAAUUAAUUCCCAACCACGAAAAAAAAUAUACACAUCUGAUGUACUAGCUGUGUAUAUAUAUAGCAGAAAAUUUCCAUAUAAUAAGCACAGGUCCCCAUAAAUACCUUUUAUAAAGCCAAGUCAUAAGCUCUUCACUUGUGCUAGCGAAAAGGAUUACUUGAGUUGGAUUAAGUGAUGUUUAGCUCCGAUCCAGAACGAACUAUAUAUAACUGGGAACGGAGUAUAUAGCAGCCAAUAUUCAAGCAUGCAUGUUCAGAGAUGAUUGAUCUACAUCCAUUUGAGAAUACAUAUGCAUGUAGGGAGCAUUAGGGCAGAGCUGGGUGAUGAAGCAGCUAUCAUUUACCUGCGACACCAACAUGGUAGCCGAAGACGAGGCCACAGGAAGCAGCCAUGAGGCAGAUGGCCAUGACAGCGGCCGUCAAGCUACCGCCAUAGCUGUGACCAUCUGCCGCCUCCAACCCUCCUCUUGCCAUCGAACUGCUGACUACUCAAGGACGGGGACACUGCUUAUACUGGCGCAGGGGCAGAGCUUGCAAGUUUUUUGCAGCUUAGGUUGGGCGUUUGGUUCCAAGGCAUGCACAUGAAUUUAUGCACAUGAAGGGGCAUCACACACUUGUAUAUAUAUUGUAUUGUGUUCGGCAUCCUUUGGCUGCUGGCUGUCCGUUUUUGACAUGUCUCCGGCAGUGGUUGACUUUGCCAGCCAGGCUCACGCUAUCAUAUCUACACAAGCAUCCAUGGUAAUAUGGUAUAUGAUGAUGGUCGUUCUGUAGCAGAUUGGAGUCCCACACUGGGCUCAAAGGGUGCGUGGUCGCGCCUCCAUCGCCUCUCUCAAAGGAGAUAUUCAUGGGGAGCACCGGGACUUGUUCCGUUCUCUGCUGCCAUCAGGGAAGGGCUUUAGCUCCGGGCCGUAAGGGCCUUUAGUCCCGGCUACGGAACCGGGGCUAAGGUUUCGGGACUAAAUGUCCCACCUUUAGUCCCGGUUAACAAGUCGAUGACGGCGUAGAAAUGAUGAAAUGAAUCAAUAGCUGGAGAUGAGAGCAAGAACAAGCAACUCCAAAUGAAGAACACAGCAAAAGAGUGAAGAUCGAUGGGCUCGGCCGGGGAAAGAAGAGUUCAAAUAUGGGGAAGGACAUUUAGUUCCGGUUCCAUUUAAAAACCGGGUCUAAAUUCGAACACUAGUCCCGGCCGGUGAGACGGACCGGGACAACAGCUUUUAAUCCCGGUUAGUGGUACCAACCGGGACUAAAGGCUGGACUUUUGUCCCGAUUCGUGAGACCAACCGGAACUAAAGGUCCCUUCUGCCGAUCUCUGACACCAUAGCCGUUGGGCAGGGGACUUUUAGUCCCAGUUGACCUCAGCAACUGGGACUAAAUAUGUUUUUGUCCCGAACGCUGAUUGGGCCGAGAUUAUUGUUCAUUUUGGACAAGUGACCAAAGGCCUGUUCUGUAGUAGUGCAUUAUACAAAGCGAUUACCUCAGUUCAGCUUGGUGAUGGGAGAUCUUGCUCCUUCUAGACGGACGUAUGGUUGGGCGACGAAGCCCUUGCUCAUGUGUACCCAGUCAUUCUCAGCCACUGCACCAACCAGGAGAUUACGGUGAGCGGGUUGAUGGUGGCCGGCCUGCAGCAAUCACUUGUGCCCAUGCUUUGGAGAAGAGCAACGCAAGAAUUACAGCUGGUUGAAUCCAUGAUUGCCAACACAGAGCUGUUGGCUGAGCAUGAUCGUAGGGUGUCGUCAUUUAGUAACGGCAAGAAUGGGCAGGACAGUGGAGCCAUUUACGUACUCUCUCGACUCUUCGCUCCUUUCCCUUUGCUACAGGCGACAAGGAGGCGACGCGAUUUCUCGGCGGCGAUUCCGCCUACCCUUCUCCUCUCCGGCGACCACGUAGGUGCUAGAGAGAGAGGAGGGUCAGGGAAUCGCUUCGCGGGUGUAGUUAGGCUACGUAGAUGUCUCCCUAGGUCUAGGCUGUGCUCGCCGUCAACAAUUGACGGUGGAGCUAGCGUUUGCCGGGGGGAGUCUUCUCCUCCGCGGCCGCGUCUUCCUGGCAGCGCCGGCGAGGCGGUGGCGACGGUGUCGCAGGAAAAUAAAUUCCUCUGGUCUCUUCCUCACCCCUUUGGUGUCUGCUCUUGGCGUCAAUGGCGAGGCCAAGGAAGAGGAGAUUCGCCAGAUCCCUGUUCUGGAGUCCAUGGCCGGCGGCACAUCUUCCUACUCAGGUGAUGUUUUUGCUGGUCCUUUUGCUAAAGGAUGUGGCGCAGCUGUUGGGUGAUGUGGUUGGUGGCCGGAUGGAUCUGCAUCGAUUUCCUCUUGGCGGAGCUUUUCGUCGACGGCGAUGGCGGAUCCAGAAGCAAUUCAUUCUGUUUAUGACUCUGCUAAUACAGUGAUAACUCUGCUAAUACUGUAGAAAUCGCUACUAGCUUAGUUGGGAAAUUCUCACACAAGUGAUCUUAGUUGGGAAAUUGCUCCUCUUCAGUUAAUGUUCUUGAGUGAUUCAAGAUCCUCAUCACUUGACAAUUCAGGAUUGUAGGCAUUAAUCAAAGAUACUAGUUCGGUAGAACAAAGACAUGUUUGUAUAGCGGAGUAAAGUGAUCAAAUAUUAAAUUCCGAAGGGAUCCGAUAGGGCACUCCUCCCAAUUUCUUGUUAGUCAAUUCAGUAGAUUCCACUAACCACUAACCAUUUGAAGCAAACUAUGCUUGCUGCCGUCAUAAUAGUCAACACUUUGAAUUAGGUUGUGUCCUUUUCAUAUAAAGAAUCUAACUGAAGGCGUGGAACAUUGGACUCUUUUCCUGUACUGAGCGAUGUGAAUUGAGAAUCACAGAAGAUAUCUCGCUAGGAGUUUAUAUGAGUGGCCACCUUGCAAUAUUCUUUAGAUGCUGAAACAUGUUAGACAGCUUAAGUUCAUCUUUAAGAUACUGAAACAGAGUUCAUGUUAGACAGCUUAAGUUCAUCUUUAUGAUGCCAAAUUCCAUCUUGCAAUAUCCUUUUCCCAGCUUAAGUUCAUCUUAAGGCAAGAUACUAGUAGGUCAUCUUUGGUAGCGAAGGACUUCCAACAAUCUUUAGAAGAUUUGGGGAUAGAGAUUCUUAUCCAGCUUUCCCGCAAAAGAUUCUUAUCCGACAUGCUUUUUUUUCCCCUUUCGAUAAAGUUUAAUUUGGGACAGCAUUUAGCAGUAAAUUAGUAUGCUGCUGCUGCCAGGCUGUGUGAAAAGGGGAAAGAAAGAAGAGACAAAACAGACAGGUUCUUAUGUUCUGUGGAUUAAUAAACAAACCUCUGUAUGGUUGAGUGCAAAACUCUUGAAGAGGCCUGAUAAAAUUCCUUUAUCUAAAAAAGAUAAAUAAACAAACCUCUUUGUCUGAAUCACUCUCUCUCAACUCUUCUGACGGAUGGAUGCAGGUACGUUGGGUUCUACAAGGGAGUGCAGAGUGCAGGAGCGGCGGUGGCAUGGCAAGUGGACAAGCAACACACGCCCCUGAUAUCCCAGCUGAUUGUGAACUGGGGGCUCAUGACCAUCAGCUACCCAUUGCUUGUGCUGCUGGUGUUCCUGGCCGUGAAGGACGAGGACUACUCUGUUUCUUCAGUGGAGGAGGACGGCAAGGAGAAAGAUAGUAAGCUGUCAGCACCAACCAGCUUCCACUAAGGAUGAUAGAUCACGAUGUUACGGGUUUUUCAUCAAAGUUGUAGAAAUCAAGAAACAACUGAAGUACCUAUGCAAAGAAUAUUUAGGGUGUGGCGUUUUUAUGUAUGUGGAUUACCUGAUGGGGAUGACAGUAUUCGUUUGGUGAUUAUUACUAUUCUCUCCGUGUUAGAUUGAGCAUGCUUGCAUCUACUCCUUGUCCGUGGUGUAACAUAUGCCAUUUUUGAGCAAUGAAAGGUUUAUUAUAUUCCUUGUCCGUGCUGCAGUUCCUAAAAUUUAUGGGUGUACAUCCACAGACAUCAGCACUUUGUACAGCAUAGAAAACAAUAAAUAAAUGCUAAUUCUGACUGCAUUAACUAAAUCACAAAAACUACCAUUAUCUCUCCUAACAUGCUUGGGCCAGAAAUCAUCAGGUGUUGUUUAUUUCGGCCAGAAAUCACAUAGGCAUUUCUCUUAUUAAAAAAUUUAUGCAAAAUAUCAUUUCUUUUGUCGUAGCUUGGUUUAUUAAUAAUUUUUUUCAAGAAUAACUUAAAUUUGACUAUGUUUGUACAAUCUUUUUUAAUAAGAUGAGGAUCAAACUUGGGGUAAAAAAAGUCAAAUGGAGUGAGUAUACUACACAAGAGAGUUGUAGGUUAUUCACUCUCUUUACGUAGGACAACUCCUGAAGUAUAAUUUGUUUCAUUUGAUAAAGCAUGGAGAUGGACUUAAUAGGAAAACGGCAGUUGAUGAACAACUUUGUGGAUUUUUGAAGACAACUUUUUUUUUUAUCAAAAUGAUUAAUACAGAUUUAGAUCAACAAAUAUGGAUAUUAACAAUGUAUGAUUCUUUUUGGCAUCAAGAAAAAGUUUCAAAUUAAAAUUUCAUGAAUUACGCAGAGCUGUACUUUAUUGAGGUCUACAUUUUUUCAAUAAAUUUCAUAUCUAUCGACAUAAAAGGUACGAGACUCUUAAAGAAGGGUUGCAUAGUAAAAGAAAAUUCCACCAACAAUUAGAUGUAAAGGAAAUUUGGGCAAUCGAAUCCAUGGAAUUUAAAUCCUGCCACUUUGAUCUAUGAUAGUAGUAUACUUUUGUAAACUUUUAUUUCUAUAUUGGAACACUUAUUUUUGCAAAACAUAUUUAAUAAAAAUACAAAAAAGGUAAAGAUAAUCUGGCAUAUACCUGGGCCUGAUCUGCUGAAAUGGCACACUGGGCCUAGGUAUGAUGCAGCCCAAACUGGGGAUAUAAAAGUAUUUGUGGACCGUACUGUUUUGUUGGGAUUUUCUUUUACAAAGUUAGAAACAGUUUCAAACAAAAAUUUCAUGAAUUAUAGAGCUGUUCUUUAUUGAGGUCUACAAUUUUUCAUAUAAAUCUCAUAUCUAUCUAUCGACAUAAAAGGUAUGAGAAUUUUAAAGAAAGGCUGCAUAGCAAAAGAAAAUUCCACCAACAAUUGGCUGCAAAGGAAAUUUUGCCAAUCGAAUCUGUGGAACUUAAAUCCUGCCACUUUGAUCCGUGAUAGCAGUAUACUUUUGUAAAUUUUUAUUUUUUAUUCGAACACUUAUUUUUGUAAAACUGAUUUAAUAAAAAUACAAAAAGUAAAAAAAUCUGGCAUAUACGUGGGCCUAAUCUGUUGAAAUGGCACACUGGGCCGAAGUGUGAUGCAGCCCAAACUGAGGAUAUCAAAGUAUUUGUGGAUAUGAACCGUACUAGAGAGAAAACAGCCUUAUUGGAUUCAUUUUUUCUUAAAUCACUGUUUUUGUUGGGAUUUUUUUUACAAAGUUAAGAACAGUUUAAAUAAUUUUUUUUUGUCAAUUGAAUCUGUGGAAUUUAAAUCCUGCCACUUUGAUCCAUGAUAGUAUUAUACUUUUCUAAAUUUUUAUUUCUUUAUUAUCCGUGGAAUCCCAUUCCGUUGUUUGGGCUUUGGAAUAGACUUUUAUUCAUAUAAUGUAAGAAAAGAAAAACCAAAUUCUUUAUUCAGUAAUCGAAGGCGCAUAAACUAAAUUACAUAUUAAUGAUUGCUAAAGUACAGGUAGGAUUGUGCAUUGGGAGCUCUCAAAAGUACAACACGAAGAUUACAAAUCCAAUAAUACCUAUCAGAAUCUACAGAAGUUUACUCUUAUCUUGAUCCCUUUCUCUUUUUUUCCUGUUAUUUUAUCAUUUUCUCAUGUGCCUUUUAGGGGAGAGUUGAUGAUAACAUUGAGACAAUCAAGAAGCUUCUAAAAGUGUUGGAAAGUUUGAAUAUUCCUGUCGUUGAGUAGUACUCUUCAAGGGGAAAAGUGCACAAGGUAAGUUCUGUUUUGCUCACAACUAUCUGAGCAGGACAAACUUUGUAUCUUUUCGGUACAUUGUGUUGCUUACUUUUGUGGAAAAGUUGAAUGAUAAAGCUUUUUGUCUAGUCUCAAUUUGUGCAUUCAAGUUCAAGAAGAAGAAUUUGAUUAGCAAAGUAUAAAUCAAAACUCAAAUAUAAACAGAUCUGAUGCAGUUUCCUUGUUUAGCUUAUUAUUGCUGUACAUCCUAUUCUUUUGGGAGAUAAUUAAAAUCUACUGAUUGGUUUGAUAUUAGAUGGGCAGCUAUAUUAUGAUCAUCCGGGAACAUGGCUUACACGCAUUAAAUGGUUAAUUGCUACAAAUGGGAUAUAUUUAGUAGAAUGUUUUCCACACUGUAUGUCAACUCAAGGAUCUAGGAUUUCUAAUAUUAAAAUUGUUCAAUUGCUUGCAGAUAAAUGCCACGGGCACUGCAGAUGAAAUAUUUGAAGCAGUCCGCAGGCUGUUUUCUUAAGGUAAAUCUUAGUGCUUGGCAUGUCAAAUUUCUUAGAUCAAUGAUAUAUUUUAGAAAUUUUUAUUCUGUAUUUCUUCCCCCCGGAGUUAUAUCUGCUAGAGUUAGUGAACGGUCGUUAGUGGUUCAUUCUCCUGGAGGAGCUUCAUUUUUGUUUGAUAUAUGUCUGGUUGCAGAUUACGGAAUGUGAUGUAUUUUGUCUUUUGUGGACUCAUUAAACUUAUGCUUAAAUGUACCCAUUUUGUUGACUAGAUGAUAUUGUAUGCAGGCCCUGACUUUGUUAAUGCUAUGAAUGAAAGGCUGUAAUAUAUUUCACUGAGUCUAUUAUAGCUUACGCAUGAAUUCUGGACAUGCAGGCCAAAGAGAAUUUUAAUUGGUGUUAGUUUGGAUCUUCCGCUCAUGUUAGACCAUGACCAUUAACAACAGAUAUCUGCACUACCUGCAGAGGCUAGCGUCUUCCAGGGAACCUGAGAUUUGUCUCUUCCACGACUUUUCAUUUUCACAAGAAAAAACCCCUACACAUUUCGAUCAGGAUCCACGGAGUUGUGAAUCGAUGUAUGUGUCCCUCAGUACAUUAACAUCUUGUCAUUGUAUGUAUAUGCCCAAAAAUGAAUGUGAACCAUGUAUGCAUGGUUAUUUCUGAAAAUGCUGAACCCGAAGUUAUAGUUGACAAAAUUCUGCUGUUGGCCUGUGACAAAUUUCCCUGAUUUUUGUGGAGGCAUGAAUUCAGGAAACUGAAUGCCAGUCUUGUGCCUGAUUCAUGUCAUGCUGAACCCGUCACUGAUUGAUUCUGAGUCUACUGGGCGCCGUGGAUGGCCUGUCUACUUUGAUUACUUCAGAGAAAUCAGAAAGCUUUGCAGGCAGCAUGCUAAAUAAAUUUUAAGGGGUUGCUAGGUUCCCAGGCGGCAGGGAAUGUUAUUUUAUAGAAUAUAUGGGACAGAGUUUGAAAGCAAUUUGUAAUUUUGUAUCCAAAUUUUGUCUUGCUGCAGCCGGCGUGCAUAUGAUACAUGUGUGUCUGUCAGCUGAAUUAGGACUGAAUCCGAAAGUGAUUGACGCUUUGUGGUGAGGAAAGGUAGAAAAGGCCGGGCGCUGCCACGCAAACAAUGAAAGUAACCAACGGCCGUUAAAGGGCUACAAAUCUCUGGUUGGAAAAUCUCUUCAGUCCCAGUUUCCUAAAUGGGUCUGCAAAUCUAGGACUAACGGCCCCCGCCCCCCUGCGUCUAGAGGCGGGCACCUUUAAUUUGCUCCCAGUUAGUGUUACCGAGGAUAAAAGAUAUUUUUUUUCAUCCUUUUAUUUUAUAUUUUUUCUUCAAUUCAUUUUUUGUUUCUAUUAUUUUUCCGUAUACUUACUCUCCAUACGUAUAAGUUUUUGUUGGUGUUUGAUGAUCAGCAACUCAUCACAGGUUAUCCGGGUCGAUGAUUGGUGUGCUCCGACAUAUACACAACCGAUGAUAAACGCAGAGACAUACUGAUUUACGCCACCCAACAUCCAAUUAGGUGUGUUGCCUUGUUCGAUUGUUGUGUAUGAUGUGUUUAUACAUAGUAUCUACAUGUUCACAUCACUGCCGGUUCAAAAACCCUUUUCACUACCAGAUUACACAGUUUGCAUCUACAUCUUCACAUCUUCUCAUGGCACCAGCGGCAAAGCAUCCGCCCAAACACGAGGACCAUCGAUGCGGCAAAGCAUCCAUGGAUGAGGGCCGAUCCAUGUGCAGCAUCUCGGAGUCAUCCUCAGAGUGUACUCCUCUGAGUCACUAAGGACACAAUGCCCUCAGACCACAGACAAAGAGCACUCCCAAGUCACCCUCUGAGUACUCCUCCGAGUCACUGAGGGCCAUGACCACGGACGAGGAGCACAAACAUGAAGACCAAGGCAUGCGGCGACGACAACUCCACAUCCGCCCAAGCAAGACAAGCAACACUAACACCGACAACAAAGCAUCUACACAAGAAACACUAGCGGCAAAGCAUUCGCCCAAGCACCAAGCAACGACUACGACUACAACAACACCAACUGGACCAACCAAGUGAGGAGAAACAUGAAGCAUAAUUAGGAGCAGAGCAGUGACCGUAGCGACCAUAUAGGGAGUGAGCGACGAGCUAUGGAGGAUUCUUCAGCGACGCCUUCAGAAAGGAGUUGACGCUCAAGAUGCCAAUGUCGCUGGCCUUAGAGGCUUCUAAGAUGAGACUUUCACCUAGAAUUUGGUGAAGCUAGCGAAGGGCACGAGGUCUAGAAAAUGACACCUCUAAGUGGCGCCAAAGGCAUCACAGCCGUUCACCUGGCAGAGCCAGGCUGAGCUUUUGCCCUGACCUUGUGCAACCUGCCAAGCACCGCCACACCGUCCUAGCACUCUAGACUGUAGACCUCCUAGGGAGGGAGCCUAGCUACGCCGUCGUCACCAAGCGGGCUCCUGGCCAACAGGACAAACCCCGUCGACCAAGACACACUACUAGGCCAGGGAGGCGCUGACCACCAUACUCGGGCACCAGGCCAUGGGGGCGCGACCACAUGCUCGCCUAGGCCACCCCAACAUAUGGCCACGCCGUUCGGCUGCCCCGCCCUGGUCUCCAACACUGGAGAGGGGGGCGUCUACCACGGAGCCUGGCAGCCGGAAGCCACCAGACAGGAAGUAGGCGCCCCUCCUGUCGGAGCACAGGACCAUGCCAGCUGCCACCGCAGAGAGGGGCGGUGGGCUGGCUGUGCGCCAACUUUAGGGCCCAAGGGACUAGAUCUGGCCAGCCAACACCCAUCUCGGUCGCCGGAGGGCCACAAUGGCGCUUGCCCACCAUGGCCACCGUCCGAACACCGUCUGGCUAGCCCCGGCCUGCCGCAUGAGGAAGGGGCGAGGAAGGGUUAGGUGGAUGGCAGAUUCGGCCCGUAGAGGCUCGGAUCUGGCCAAACGCCACUGUCCACCGCUGUGGUCGCCACCGGAGUUGAGGUGGAGAGGGGUCCGACACGAUUAGGUGGUGGGAGAGGAGAGGAGUUGCAGACGAGGCACCUUGUUGGGAGCCCGCCACCACGGGAAGGGCAGCGACGACGGCCGGAGGAGGCCUGGGAGGGAGCGAAGUUCGGCGGCAGCGGUGGCGCCUCCCGAGUCGCCUAACGUGGGCGCUCGGGAGGGAUUAGGCAGAGGUUUCACACAACUUUCGGGACACACUGAAUAUAUAUCACGAUGACGGCUUGGGCACCGUUAGUGGCGGUGGAUUUGGCGCGCAAAGAACGCCCGCUCACGAAACCAGAGUGUUUGGGGGCAUGGCCACUGGGGGCAUGGGUCAUCGGGGCGUGGUUGCAUAGGGCGAGGCCACCUGGGUGGGAGGCCGCAUGGGCUCGCUGUUGCCUAGGUAGGCACGUAGGCGUGGCCACCUGGUUUGACCAUGCAUGGGCUAGCGCGCAGCCCGUUGUCGUGGGCUUGGCGCAGGGCGCCGAGAUGCUGUUUGGUGGCCAUGGGAAGAAGAUGCGCACAACCACAGAAUGAGACGAGAAAAAAAA